UGGGGAAUAUUGCACAAUGGAGGGAACUCUGAUGCAGCGACGCCGCGUGAGUGAUGAAGGAAUUCGUUUCGUAAAACUCUGUUCUAUGGGAAGAAAAGGACUGUACCAUAGGAGAAAGCUCCGGCUAAAUACGUGCCAGCAGCCGCGGUAAUACGUAUGGAGCGAGCGUUGUCCGGAAUUAUUGGGCGUAAAGGGUGCGCAGGCGGCUUUACAAGAUGGAUGUGAAAUAUUGUGGCUCAACCACAAACGUGCAUCCAAAACUGCAAAGCUUGAGUUAAGGAGAGGUAAGUGGAAUUCCUGGUGUAGCGGUGGAAUGCGUAGAUAUCAGGAGGAAUACCGGUGGCGAAGGCGACUUACUGGACUUAAACUGACGCUCAGGCACGAAAGCGUGGGGAGCAAACAGG
rnacentral:rRNA from 1 species